GACGAACGCUGGCGGCGUGCUUAACACAUGCAAGUCGAACGGUGAACUCCGCUUGCGGGGGGAUCAGUGGCGCACGGGUGAGUAACACGUGGGCAACCUGCCCUCAGCUCUGGGAGAACUCCAAGAAAUUGGGGCUAAUACCGGAUAUGACCGCUGACCGCAUGGUCUGGUGGUGGAAGGAUUUAUCGGCUGGGGAUGGGCCCGCGGCCUAUCAGCUUGUUGGUGGGGUAGUGGCCUACCAAGGCGACGACGGGUAGCCGGCCUGAGAGGGUGACCGGCCACACUGGGACUGAGACACGGCCCAGACUCCUACGGGAGGCAGCAGUGGGGAAUAUUGCGCAAUGGGCGGAAGCCUGACGCAGCGACGCCGCGUGGGGGAUGACGGCCUUCGGGUUGUAAACCUCUUUCAGCAGGGACGAAGCGAAAGUGACGGUACCUGCAGAAGAAGCACCGGCUAACUACGUG
rnacentral:rRNA from 1 species